ensembl:lncRNA
AACAUACAGACAGCUCAAGCAGCUCAAUAUCAAAAAACAAAAAUACCCAAUAGGAAAUGGGACAAAGAUCUCAAUGGACAUUUCAUGAAGAAGGCAUACACAUGGCCAUUAAGCACUUGAAAAGGUGUUCAGCAUCACUCAUGGUUAGAGGAAGACCAUUCAAAAGUCCAGUGAGCUAUCACCUCACCCCAGUCAGAAUGGCCAUCUCAGAGAAUCCCCAGCAAUACAUGUUGCAGAGGAUGUGGAGAGAAGGGAACUCCGCUGCACUCUUGGUGGGAAUGUAAAUCGGUCUAUCCAUUAGGCAAAGAGUAUGAAGGUUCUUUUAAAAUACUAAACGUAGUGUUGUAGCCCCACGUUCCGGGAAACAAACUCACGCAGAAGGACAGUGCAGAUAGUGCAGUGCAGUUGAUUACACCCGCGGGCCCAAGGCAGAGUCUCCUGUUAGCCAAGGACGCCGACCGGUUUUUGUGAAAACAUUGUAUACCCUAAGUGUAUACGGUUCCCUGAAACUAAUCUCAACAAAGGAAAAAGAAAGAUACAAAGUUAAGCCAUGCUUCAUAUGCCUUAAGCCUAGGUAAUUAACAGUGGACAAUUAUCAACAGGCCUGCGGUCAUACCAAAACAAGCAUUAUAGAACGUAUGGUUCUCUUCAGUUACACAGAUAAUUAGGGGAAUCUUUUAGGCAUGGAGAGUCUAGAUCCAAGCCCUGAGGCUCUUCCUUCUGGGAGCCUGGUUUUCCAGCUGGUGUGUUGUUUCCACAGAUACUGGGCUCAAAGUCCAUAGUCUGGCCCAAGAUGGAGUCCUGCUUUCAAGAUAGAGCCGUUUCUGUAACCUCCUUCAAUACAAGUACCAUAGGAUCCAGCAGUCCCACACCUGGGUGUGCUGCUGCUAAGUCGCUUCAGUCGUGUCCGACUCGGUGCGACCCCAUAGACGGCAGCCCACCAGGCUCCCCUGGCCCUGGGAUUCUCCAGGCAAGACAACUGGAGUGGGUUUCCAUUUCCUCCUCCAAUGCAUGAAAGUGAAAAGUCAAAGUAAAGUCGCUCAGUCGUGUCCGACUCUUAGGGACCCCAUGGACUGCAGCCCACCAGGCUCCUCGGUCCAUGGGAUUCUCCAGGCAAGAGCACUGGAGUGGGGUGCCAUUGCUAGGUACAGAGAAAACCAAAAUUUGAAAAGACGCCUGCAGCCCUGUGGUCACAGCUGCACUAGGACCAUCAACAGGACACGGCAGCAAUCUAAGAGCAGGACACAGGUGAAUGGAUACAGAAGAGGGUACCUAGACAUAAUCCAGUAUUAUCCAGCCAUUAAAAGGAUCAAGUAACAACAUUUCCAGCCACAGGGAGGAAAGUAGAAGUGAUCAUUCUAAGUGAACUAGGGGAGACAGGGAAAGACAAGAAUCGUAUGGCAUCACUUCUAGGUGGAAUCUAAAAAUGGAGACGUGUGAACUUCUUUACCAAAGAGAAAUGGCCUCACAAACAUAUGGUUCCCUAGAAGAAACUUACGGUUCCCCAGGAGGAAAAGACGAGGGCAGGGAGAAAUGAGCUGGUUCAGAUUGACGUACACACACUACUCUUUAUAAAAUCAUCCACAAGGACCCACUGCACAGCACAUGGAACCCUCCUCAACACUCCGUAAUAACUUAUAUGGGAAGAGAACCUGAAAAAGAACAUAUAUAUGUCUAGCUAUACAUGAAUCAAGCACCUGGAAAGACAUCCCCCCUCACUCAUUUCUGUGCUCAGUUGCUCAGUUGUGUCCGGCUUUUCGCAACCCCACGGACUGCAGCCUGCUAGUCUCUGCUGUCCAUGAAAUUUUCCAGGAAAGAAUUCUGGUUGGGUUCCCCUUUCCUUCUCUAGGGCAUCUUCCCGGCUCAGGGAUCAAUUCUGAAUCUCUUGCAUCUCCUGCACUGCAGGCAGAUUCUUUGCUGCUGAGCCGCACCAGGGAAGACCCACUCAUUAUUAAAUCAAUGGUGAUCAAAUCUACACUGACGAAUCCCCUCCCACCAGUCAGAAGGGCCAUCGUCAGAAAGCUCUCCAAAGAAUAAAUGCUGCAGAGGGCGUAGGGAAAAUGGAACCCUCCCGCACUCUGAGUGGGGUGCAACAGGGUGCGGCCCCAAUGGAAAACCGCAUGGAGGGUCCUGAGGAGACAGAGGAGCCACGGGACCCAGCGACCCCACUUCCGGGCUCAGACCUGGAGAACAUCACGAUUUGAAAUGAUACGUGCACCCCUGUUUUCAGAGAAGCACUAUUUACAACAGCCAAGACAGAGUCCACCAAAAUGUCCAACGACAGCAACGUGAAGACUGAGUGUUCCGUCUAUACACUGGACUCUAUACACAUCUAUACAGUUCACCCCUGGGCUCUGGGGUGCAGUCAGGAUGGGAGAAUGUGGCCUCUGACCAGCAGCUGGUGGGAAGAAGGGAGAUCAGCCCUGAGGUUAGGUGUUCCCUGAAGUCUGUGGGCCCCAGUGCCCUGAUGGCCUUCAUCCCCAGUGGGGACGUGGGCAGGGCCUGAGCCACUUUGAUGAAGCCACAGCAGCAAUGGGCUCAGAAGUCUCCUGAGGGUGUCUCAAACUCUGACACCAUGUUUUACAGAGGAACAGGAGAAUGAAGCUGACCUCCUGACAGCGUCCUUCCAGCUCUGAGUUGUUUCCAAAAGACCACCAUCACCUGCGUGGGGUCGGCCAUGAGCCACCUGCCCCCUCCUGCCUUUCCUCUUCCUCCUGGUGACAAUUCCAGUGACGUUUCCUGGCUGGUCCCCUCGCCCAGCCCAGAUGCGUCUGUCCAUCCACUGCCGCUCACCUCACCCUGGGGACUAACGGGCCCCUCGAGGACUGCACUCCUGCUGCUCCCCAUGCCCAGGAGGCAGCCCCACCUUCUUCUCCAGGUGCUGAGCUCAGACACCUGGUGUGACCAAGCAGGAGCCUGUGGGCCCUCCCAGGACAGACCCCAUCCUGUAUCCUCUGCUGCAGCUCCUCUCUGAAGUUUGGGGUAACAGCACCUGAUGUGCACUCCGGGCAUUGUUUUACAGGCACUAAAAGCCCCACUGAGUGGAAGAAGUUACCUACUAGAUGAGCAUGAACGUCACCCCAGAGCGUCCAGUUGUCAGGGAGUGUUUAGCAGGAAGAUUCCUACACGCUGUUUCUCACAGGUCCUCUGUUUCUUUUCAAGCAGAGCGGCAUGCUGUUCCCAGGAACCAGGGUCAUCGUGUGAGACAGGCCUGAGUCUCCUUCAGUAAACAUUCUCUUUACGACAAAACUGCUUAGUCUCAAUUCCCUUUCCUGAGAUAUGGAUGUUCUUCUGACCUUGUGGCAAUUUUUAAUCCCUUGUUCCCUUGGUUACGGUUGUUAUACACUUGGUUUUCUGAUCUUUAUCAUAGUCAUAAGAAACUUCUUGUACCACAGCUUAUAUAUACUCACAGAAAAUUCAUUAAAGCACCUCUGCUCCAUCAGAGCUUGGGUCCCCGUGUCUUUCUUUCUCUCUUUCUUUCUCUCAUUCUCUUUCUCUCUCUCUCUUAGGCUGAUUCCUUGGAGUGCAGAGACCCGUCUUGCUCACUCUGCUGCCCGGGCUUCUAAGACUCUCUCGAGAAGGCGCCAGGUGCCUUCAUGAGACAUGCAAGUCCUCUAUCAAGGACUUUAUUGGUUUUCUGCAUAAACCAGAGAGUAUCAGCUUCUUUCUCUCUUUCACUUUCUUAUCAUCGCCUCCGGACCACCAGGUCCCGGUCCAUUAAAGGACCCCAACAUCCAGUGCCUGAGGAUUUGUGAGGUUAGCCGCCUGUUCCCUCACCAACCAGAGAACCGUGCACCAGCGGAUCACAAACUCUGUGACCCCCUCCCUCAGGCGGCCUACAGGAUGGAGUGACUGCUUUCACGGGCCCCGUGGUGGAAGAGCUCACUUUCUGAUGAAGCCAGACCUUGAUCCUCUCCAGGGGACAAAAGAAGAGGGACAGACACAGAGGACAAGCCGCAUGAAGAUGAAGGCAGAGACGGGCGGGAGGGGCCGCAAGCCCAGGAACCCCUGGAGCCCCUGAAGCUGGAAAAGGCAGGAAGGACCCUAUCCUGGAGCCUCUGGAGGGACCUCAGCCUUGCGCCACCUUGAUCUCAGGUGUCUGGUCUCCAGGACUGGGGGAGGAUGAACUCCUGUUGUUUUAAACCACCCGGCUUGUGAUCAUUUGUUGGGCCACAGAGCAGCCACACAGACCCUGCUCUGUAGGAUCCUAGAAGUGUGGGUCUCAGUAAAGGCAGAUCAGGGUGCUUUACGGAACCCCUGGAGUCAGCACUGGGACCCCAGAAUGUUGAGGGGUCGAGUCUGAAACCUGUCCCUAGGGCUGCACACGCCUCCCCAGGUUCUUACACCUGAACAGGUGGUGUAGCAUCUCAGUCCUGACUGAGGACUCUGUUAAUUUCACCAGUUACACAGGUGAAAACCCAGUUAGGAUACUUGCCACACUGAUGAUCAAUUCUGAAGAUGGUCAGGGGUGGGGACUCACAUGCAGCC